GAUGAACGCUGGCGGCGUGCCUAACACAUGCAAGUCGAACGGAAAGGCGCUGCUUUCAGCGUACUCGCGUGGGGAGCGGGUGAGUAAAACGCAGGUGAUCAGCCCCGCUCUUCGGGAUAAGCCCGGGAAACUGGGGAUAAUUACGGCCAGGAGCCAUCUUUAGAGUGAUGGUUGGAUAGUUUCUUCGGGGUAUGAUGUGCGCGCGGGUUAUCUGCGAGUGGGUGGGGUAACGGCUUACCCAAGCGGCGAUGAGUAGCCGAGCUGAGAGGGUGAGCCGCCACACUGGGACUGAGACACGGCCCAGACUCCGACGGGAGGCAGCAGUGGGGACUUUUGGCCAAUGGGCGAAAGCCUGAUCAAGCAACGCCGCGUGUGUGAAGAAGGGCUUCGGGUUGUAAAACGCUUUUGUGAGGGAAGAAAUCUUUCGCUAUGAACCAGGCGGGUUGUGACGGUACCUAAAGAAGAAGCACCGGCUAACUACGUG
rnacentral:rRNA from 1 species